ensembl:snRNA U6 U6 spliceosomal RNA
GUUUUAGAAGCACUUGCACCGAAAUUGGAGAGAUACAGAGAAAGAUUUGCAUGGCCCCUGUGAAAGGAUGACAUCCUAAUUUUCUGAGACUUUAUCUCUACGC